rnacentral:misc_RNA from 3 species
AACGCACAUUGCGCCCGCCAGUAUUCUGGCGGGCAUGCCUGUUCGAGCGUCAUUUCAACCCUCAAGCUCAGCUUGGUGUUGGGACUCGCGGUAACCCGCGUUCCCCAAAUCGAUUGGCGGUCACGUCGAGCUUCCAUAGCGUAGUAAUCAUACACCUCGUUACUGGUAAUCGUCGCGGCCACGCCGUUAAACCCCAACUUCUGAAUGUUGACCUCGGAUCAGGUAGGAAUACCCGCUGAACUUAA